UACGGAGGGUGCAAGCGUUAUCCGGAUUUACUGGGUUUAAAGGGUGUGUAGGCGGGCUAUUAAGUCAGCGGUGAAAUCUCCGGGCUCAACCUGGAAACUGCCAUUGAUACUAUUAGUCUUGAAUUCUGUUGAGGUGGGCGGAAUAAAUCAUGUAGCGGUGAAAUGCAUAGAUAUGAUUUAGAACACCAAUUGCGAAGGCAGCUCGCUGGGACGGUACUGACGCUAAGGCGCGAAAGCGUGGGGAGCGAACAGG
rnacentral:rRNA from 1 species